rnacentral:rRNA from 1 species
GACAGAGGGUGCAAACGUUGUUCGGAAUUACUGGGCGUAAAGCGAGUGUAGGCGGUGUGGUAAGUCGGAUGUGAAAGCCCGGGCUCAACCCGGGAAGUGCACUCGAUACUGCCACGCUAGAGUAUCGGAGAGGUUGGUGGAAUUCUCGGUGUAGAGGUGAAAUUCGUAGAUAUCGAGAGGAACACCGGUGGCGAAGGCGGCCAACUGGACGAACACUGACGCUGGAGACUCGAAAGCGGUGGGGAGCAAACAGG